rnacentral:rRNA from 1 species
AAAGGAGCGCUAAUACCGCAUGAGACCACGUCCUGUAAUGGAUGAGGUCAAAGCCGGCCUCUUCAUGAAAGCUGGCGCCUGAGGAUGGGCCUGCGGCCCAUCAGCUAGUUGGUGGGGUAAUGGCCCACCAAGGCAAAGACGGGUAGCUGGUCUGAGAGGAUGAUCAGCCACACUGGAACUGAGACACGGUCCAGACUCCUACGGGAGGCAGCAGUGGGGAAUCUUGCGCAAUGGGCGAAAGCCUGACGCAGCGACGCCGCGUGAGUGAUGAAGGCCCUAGGGUUGUAAAGCUCUGUGGGGAGGGACGAAUAAGCGGCGGCUAAUACCCGACGUGAUGACGGUACCUCCUUAGCAAGCACCGGCUAACUCUGUGCCAGCAGCCGCGGUAA